GGGAGAGGGGCGCUCCGCCUUGGCUCGGGGCUGCUUCUGGCUCAGACUUCCUGGUUGGGAAAUUUCCAAAAUUUGCUCAUAUGUAAGCCUCUCCCGAAUGUUAGCCGCACUUCCGGUUGGGGAGCAAAAUUUUAGUCAAAAUGGUGGCACUUAUAAUCAUGAAAUUACUGUAAAUCCUGAGAGCAUUUGGUCAGCAUGGAUGCUUGGGCAAGCAGUGAUUGUUCUUUCCACCAGUUCCCUAAUAGGAACAACAAUUGCCAUUGUCCUCCACUUCAUUGAGUUCCGGCAUAAGGGAGUUGGCUGCUGGUGGGAAACUGACAGUCAGACCCCACUCCAUAGAAGCCUCUCCUGAUCCUGCUGCAGCAGACUCCAGCUUUUGGUAUCACGGGUGCCAGCUGCAUGGGAAGCCAAACUGUCAUACCAUCUUCUCACCAAGACUUCAGUGGGGGGGGCAGAAGCACCAUUAGAGCCUAAUGAAAAAGCAAACACAAAAGUAAAGAUUUUAACAGUGGGGGCUUUUUCCUCCUUAAAAUCCCACCAGAGAGACACCACUGCACGUGAUACUUCAUUUGUAGGGGGUUUUUGCAGGCAAGAGCACAACAUGAACAAGGUAGUUUUAUGUGGCUUUUUUAGGCAUCAUACCAUGUCCAGGUAGCCCAGCAAAUUGCAACUCUCUACAAUUGCAUUCGCAACAACUCUGUCAAUAUCCACAGUGCUCACACCUGUGCCUUCAAAACACUGAUAUUGUAGAAUACUGCAUGCUUUCCUUCCAAAGAUCUCUUACAUACUCUGCUAAUAUGAUGCUUUUGGAUGAACAGUUGUAAGCAUAUUUUUGUGUUUCUAAACUCAAUCUACUCUUCAGGAUCAAUAUGAACACAUGGUGGCCACAAGUUACUCCUCGACCAGGUUCCAAGAUCUCCCUGAAUGAUGCACUCCUUCAUGACCCUCUCCACUGAUCUACCACUGCUUCUUUUGGGGCCAAAUGCUGCUCUCCAUAUGAAGAGAAAUCAGAAAAAUACUAAUAGGCGACCUCUUCCAGUAAUAAAUUACCCUUCAAUCCCUGCAUAAUCUCUGUGCCAGGUGGAAGGCUUCAAGAUGUUGUUCAUACCUGUGCUUGGAUCAGACUGUACUUGCUAAAAAGGUGCAAAAUGAUUGCACGUGGGAGUUGACAACUACUCUUGCCCAUACACAAUGUGGCACAACCAACAUUUAGUAUCAUCUUCCAGAUUUUCUGUUAGUAGUUAAGGCCAAGUGAAAUAAUUUAUUUCUCAGUAGAUUAUAAAACAAUUUGCAGAUUGCAUUUUUGCGCUGAAAUUGCACCUGCAAUUAUUACUGAGUAAAAGUAUAAAGCUAUUGUGCUCAUAAAGAAAUUUAUGUAAAAGGGAGAAAAACUGAGAAUGCCAUAAGGUUCUCCAUUUUCUUCUGGAAGGAGAAGACUGGUACAUACAGAGGGAAUAUGAUCAGGACUUUGGAUCCAACAUGUCCUUUAAACCAGCAACAGUUAAAAAGUACUGGGGCUCCACACCCCUCUGGAUGAACAGCAGCACAAGUGACUUAAAAACCACACUGGCAAAGCCUCUCCUGCUGUCAUGGUGAGCAGCACACAGAGCCCUUUGGAAAGCAGCACAAAA